rnacentral:rRNA from 1 species
GAUGAACGCUGGCGGCGUGCUUAACACAUGCAAGUCGAACGAAGCACUUUAUUUGAUUUCCUUCGGGACUGAUUAUUUUGUGACUGAGUGGCGGACGGGUGAGUAACGCGUGGGUAACCUGCCUUGUACAGGGGGAUAACAGUUGGAAACGGCUGCUAAUACCGCAUAAGCGCACAGCAUCGCAUGAUGCAGUGUGAAAAACUCCGGUGGUAUAAGAUGGACCCGCGUUGGAUUAGCUAGUUGGUGAGGUAACGGCCCACCAAGGCAACGAUCCAUGGCCGACCUGGGAGGGUGACCGGCCACAUUGGGACUGAGACACGGCCCAAACUCCUACGGGAGGCAGCAGUGGGGAAUAUUGCACAAUGGGCGAAAGCCUGAUGCAGCGACGCCGCGUGAGCGAAGAAGUAUUUCGGUAUGUAAAGCUCUAUCAGCAGGGAAGAUAAUGACGGUACCUGACUAAGAAGCACCGGCUAAAUACGUGCCAGCAGCCGCGGUAA